rnacentral:snRNA from 1 species
GCUUUACGGCACAAUAAAAACCCUAGCUCAACAUGGGAGUCCGAUAAAAUUAGCAUGGCCCCUGCGCAAGGAUGACACGCACAAAUCGAGAAAUGGUCCAAAUUGUU